UGGGGAAUUUUGCACAAUGGGGGAAACCCUGAUGCAGCGACGCCGCGUGAUUUAGAAGGCCCUCGGGUUGUAAAACUCUUUUUUACGGGAUGAAAAUGACAGUACCGUUAGAAUAAGUUCUGGCUAAAUUCGUGCCAGCAUCCGCGGUAAUACGUAGGGACCGACCGUUGUCCGGAAUCAUUGGGCGUAAAGGGUACGUAGGCGGCAUAGUAAGUUAGAAGUGAAAUAAUAUAGCUCAAAUAUGUAAAGCUUUUAAAAAUGCUAGGCUUGAGAGAUGGAAGGGAAAGUGGAAUUACUGGUGUAGCGGUGAAAUGCGCAGAAAUUAGGAAGAAUACCGGUGGCGAAGGAGGCUUUCUGGUGAUCUUCUGACGCUGAGGUACGAAAGCGUGGGUAGCAAACAGG
rnacentral:rRNA from 1 species